GGGAGCGUGGUGUGCAAGACUCUAUUUCUUUCUCUUUUUCUUGUUUCAUUUUCUCUUCUCUCUUCCUCUCGUUUGAUCCUUUCUUCUCUUUCUUCUUCUACCUAAUUUUUAAGCUUCAAGAAGGUUAGAGUUGUAGAUUCCAGCAGGUUGUUUUUCGAUUUUAGCGGCCUAGUUCGUGGCUUUUUUCUUCCUUCGGUUCAACCAUCAAAAAUCAUCAAAGGAAAGUUCUUAUUCUCUUAUUUCCAUAUUUUUUGCAAUUUCUUUUCAUCUCUUUUCCGUUCACCAUAUUUAUUCCUUCCAUCUAUAGGAUUUGGUGGUUGAAAUGCUUAAUUUUUGGACACUCUUAAAUUUUGGCUAGAUUGCGCAUGUUGUACGUUUUGGGUUAUAACUUUCUGUGGUGAUAUUCAAAUUGAAAUCCUUUUUUUUUUUUUUUUUUUUUCGUAAAGUAGACUUCAUAAGCUUUGUUUUGAAAUAUUAUUUGAAUUAUUUGGUUGCGUUUUGUGCUCGUAACAACCCAGUUAAUCUAUGCCUAAAAUCCGAAAAUUUUACUACUACAAGUUAUCUACCUUGCUUUGAUUUUCGAGAAAUAACUUCUUGUGAUUAUUUCCAAUUUAAAAUUUGUUUGUUGUUUCAAGAACUAGAGAUUCUGAGCUUCAGUUUAGCCUCAUAUUUCAUAAGAUUUGAUUGAGUUGUGAGCUCGAAAUAUGCCCUUGAAGUUACCAUUCAUAAUCUUAAUUUUUUUUUAGAAUUUUGGCUAAUUAAUCCUUUUUGUGUUGGCUAUUCUUCCUAUGAUUGAGAUGAUGAUUCUUGCUUAUUUUAUCAUAUUAAAUCUUGUUGAUUUUCCUUAAAUACUUGAUGUAUUUUAUUCAAAAGGCUCAAUAGGGUUUCGACUCACCCUAUAUUUCUUAAGAAAUGAUGCAUUUCUUGAUUAAGGUGUAGUUUAUGUAAGAUUUUUUAGUGUUAUCUUGCAUGUAUUUUUGGGUUUCUCACGUUGUCGUUCAUAUUGCUGGGUUCUGGCAGUCGAUAAAUACACUCAAUUUGUCGAUCGAUACUGCCUAGAGUUCGUCUGUUGCUUCUUUUAAUGCUUGUAUUCCACUCUCCAAUCUUUAUAUUAAUUAUUGUUAAGCUGUUUCAUUGCUUAUAACUUUGAUUGUCGUCUUUGGGAAAUGGGGAAUGGGAAUGCUAACAUGAGAAUAAGUGAGGCUUAAAUUAUGAUGUUGCAUUACUUUAGAAAUGUGUUGAAUUGGCUUAUGUGCGUAUAAUGAUGAAAUUAUAUAGAACCAUGUUUGAGUGUUGGUUUAGAGGAACUGAUAAAUGCAUGUUCUUAUAUGUGUUUAUAAAAAUUGAUUACAUGUCUUUUAUAUUGAUUUAGCGCGACUAAUAUUUUGCACGGUGAACUAAGUUCUCAAGGGAAAAAGAAUAUCCAAAACCAAGUUUGGUAGGCAUUUGCCUAGCACGAGGGACCUUCAGCUCAUAAUGCUCGCCUGGUGAAAACCUAGUGCAUGGGUAGACAUUUGUCCACAAUGGAUGAUAUGGAAUUAUUAAGCAUUGGUAUAUGAUGUGGUAAGGCAUGAUGAGAAAUUAUGUAGUGAUUGUGAGAAGUUAUGUUCUACUUAAUUGUUUAUUGUUCAUGCAUUUGAUUCAUAAUGCUUCUUAUUGUUUUAUUAUAGUUGUUGAGCCUUGUGACUCUCUUUUGCUUUUGCGUCAUUUUAGAUAAGGGUAAGGCCAAGGCCAAGGAAAGUGGCAAGCCCGGUGGAGUCUGACUUUGUUGGGAGUAGUAUGUGUAUAGAGUUGUCCCAACCAAAAGAUCCAUGAGGUUUGUUUUGGGGUUUCAAAAACAACAAAACGCACAAACCUGAGCUAAAUUGCAUCAUAGAAGGGACCGGCUAUCAUCCAACCAUCACAACAGUCACAUUAUUCCAUGCUCACUCUGCUCUCGUUUUCACAACAGCUAAUGAGUGUUCAAUCAACAAAUUAGAGUCAUGCUUGCGGAAUGAGUUUGACACCUACAGCAAGGAUGAUUAGUCAACAUUUGGUUCCAAAUUUUUUGCCACUAUGUCUCGUGACGGGAGAAGUUGCUGAAUUAGUAGAUGAGUUUAAUAGUGAACGAAAUGUUAUGAAGGAUAAUGUAGUGGAAUUGAAAUUCUAUUUAGGAUAAUAUAAUGGAACUUACGUAAAAUAAGUGACAAGUCCAAUUUUUUUGCCACUACAAUGUCCCUUUAAUUAUGUUUUUUGCCUUUCUUUUCAUUUAAGAACCUUGUUGUGGAACUGAAAGAAUUUUUGAACUUAGAUACUUGGCGUGUUUAAUAUAC